AGGGAAAGCUGGGACAAAAGAGAGGCUCACAUGAAAUUGAUGCUGCAGCCACUGAUUGUGCAUCAGAGAACGACUCUGAGAGAGAGGAGUCGUCUGAAAAAUCCUAUGAAGAAAAUCUGACCGGAGAGAUGUCAGCGAUUCGGGCCAAACAGCCAAU